GGCUAUAGUUCCUGACAUCGCUUCGGGCGGUGCAAAAGCGGCAGUGGGUGUAGUGUACGAAGCGAAACUUUUUAGUUAGUUUAACUCUGGUUUUCGUUUUUCAAAAUUCAUGAAUCUGACGUGAAAUCCGGCAGGUGGAUUCCUGCAGCAAGUCAGUUUGUAGUUUUCGUGCACGGUGCAUUUCUGGAUUACUUCUCAUCGAAUUUGGAAAAUAACAAUAUGGAUUAAUAAGAAUGUGUGCUGGCAUAUGCCCAUCGUAAUGGGGGACCCAAAGACAGUUUUGGAAGGAAGUGUCAAGUACAGAGAUAAGAAAAAGUGGAAAUCACGGUGGGCUGUCGUUAGCAAGCUAUCACCAGUAGCAGGUUGAAGGUAUUGACACACACUAUUCGUCAUUUAAAAGUUUGGACCCUUCUUCAUUCAUAUACAAGAUGUCAGAAAGGAUCGAUGACUGGAACCCACCUGAAUGAUGGAAGAGAAUAACUUGCAUCAUGAUGAUUCGUGCCGGCCAUCAAAAUAAGGAUAUUAUGACUGCUGCCCAGUGCUCCCUGAACACAGUAAAAACAAUCAGGCAUGAACUAGAGACUUGCAAUGGUGACUACGAGGAUGUAGCCACCACCAAAAGUCAAAAAUGAUUGUCUGAAAAUUUCUACGACUUCACCAGUCCAAAUGUUUGGCUUCCAAACUCCCCAGACUUUAACCCCAUGAAUUAUUUUGUAUGGGGCGCAGUUGAAAACGACACCAAUCGCACUUCCAGUAAUACAAAAGCCCAGUUAAUGGAUAAAAUUAAAACAGUUUUUGAGGCCUUUCCCCAGGGAGACUGUAGCAUCAGCUUGUUCGAGGUUUUGAAGCAGGAAUGAAGCUGUGAUCGAUGCUAAUGGUGGUUGUGGUUAUUUUGAGUGAAUCUUGUUGAUAGUAUUGUAAUUUACUCUGCCUGUAAUUCUUUUUUGUCAAUUCAUUUAAUUUAAUAGAUACAAAGCAGAUUUUCGUUUUCCUUACGAAACUGUCAAAUUUAUCCCGUCUUGCCGUGUUUAAAUUUUAC